rnacentral:rRNA from 1 species
UGGGGAAUAUUGCACAAUGGGCGCAAGCCUGAUGCAGCCAUGCCGCGUGUGUNAAGAGGCCUCGGGUUGUAAAGCACUUUCAGCGAGGAGGAAGGUGGUGAGCUUAAUACGCUCAUCAAUUGACGUUACUCGCAGAAGAAGCACCGGCUAACUCCGUGCCAGCAGCCGCGGUAAUACGGAGGGUGCAAGCGUUAAUCGGAAUUACUGGGCGUAAAGCGCACGCAGGCGGUUUGUUAAGUCAGAUGUGAAAUCCCCGGGCUCAACCUGGGAACUGCAUUUGAAACUGGCAAGCUANAGUCUCGUAGAGGGGGGUAGAAUUCCAGGUGUAGCGGUGAAAUGCGUAGAGAUCUGGAGGAAUACCGGUGGCGAAGGCGGCCCCCCUGGACGAAGACUGACGCUCAGGUGCGAAAGCGUGGGGCAGCAAACAGGAUUAGAUACCCUGGUAGUCCACGCUGUAAACGAUGUCGAUUUUGGAGGUUGUGCCCUUGAGGCGUGGCUUCCGGAGCUAACGCG